rnacentral:lncRNA from 1 species
UGUUCUCUACCAAUCCCUACUAGAGCUCCUCAUGGCUCUAGGCGGAUCAAACUCAUAAUGUUAAGCCUGGUUUUGCUCAUAAACAUACAACAAUAAAGAAACAUACAUAAACUGAUCAUGUGACUCCACAAAGGGAUUACAACUCUUAUAAGUCAAGCACUAUUCUAUACAUUGUCCAUAUACACUAGCAUACAUUUACAUGUCCACACUAGCUAUUACACCAUUCUGUACUCUUCCUGUACCCUGCUGAGUUCUCUCUAACCUCUGAACCUGCACAACUGGAGUUAGGGGAGAGGGAUGAGCUACAAUAGCCCAGUGAGUAGAAUAGUAAUAAAAUUACAGGUGAUAAAACAUGCUCUCAUGGAAUGCAACACAUAAUCACAUCACCUCGGCCGGACGGAUCAAAACNNNN